rnacentral:rRNA from 1 species
UACGUAGGGUGCAAGCGUUGUCCGGAAUUAUUGGGCGUAAAGAGCUCGUAGGCGGUCUGUCGCGUCGGCUGUGAAAACUCGGGGCUCAACCCCGAGCCUGCAGUCGAUACGGGCAGACUAGAGUGCGGUAGGGGAGACUGGAAUUCCUGGUGUAGCGGUGAAAUGCGCAGAUAUCAGGAGGAACACCGGUGGCGAAGGCGGGUCUCUGGGCAUGUCCUGACGCUGAGGAGCGAAAGUGUGGGGAGCGAACAGG